rnacentral:SRP_RNA from 1 species
UGUUGGUCCCCCCGCAACACGAACUGGUGAACUCGGUCAGGCCCGGAAGGGAGCAGCCGUAGCUAGGGUAGUGUGUGCCGGGGUGCGGCUGGCAGGG